UGGAUCCAGACUUUGAUCCUGGCUCAGGACGAACGCUGGCGGCGUGCUUAACACAUGCAAGUCGAACGGAGCACCCCUGAAGGAGUUUUCGGACAACGGAAGGGAAUGCUUAGUGGCGGACUGGUGAGUAACGCGUGAGGAACCUGCCUUCCAGAGGGGGACAACAGUUGGAAACGACUGCUAAUACCGCAUGACACAUGACCGUGGCAUCACGGACAUGUCAAAGAUUUAUCGCUGGAAGAUGGCCUCGCGUCUGAUUAGCUGGUUGGCGGGGUAACGGCCCACCAAGGCGACGAUCAGUAGCCGGACUGAGAGGUUGACCGGCCACAUUGGGACUGAGAUACGGCCCAGACUCCUACGGGAGGCAGCAGUGGGGAAUAUUGGGCAAUGGGCGCAAGCCUGACCCAGCAACGCCGCGUGAAGGAAGAAGGCUUUCGGGUUGUAAACUUCUUUUAAGAGGGAAGAGCAGAAGACGGUACCUCUUGAAUAAGCCACGGCUAACUACGUGCCAGCAGCCGCGGUAAUACGUAGGUGGCAAGCGUUGUCCGGAUCUACUGGGUGUAAAGGGCGUGCAGCCGGGAGUUCAAGUCAGAUGUGAAAUCCCGCGGCUUAACCGCGGAACUGCAUUUGAAACUGAAUUUCUUGAGUACCGGAGAGGUCAUCGGAAUUCCUUGUGUAGCGGUGAAAUGCGUAGAUAUAAGGAAGAACACCAGUGGCGAAGGCGGAUGACUGGACGGCAACUGACGGUGAGGCGCGAAAGCGUGGGGAGCAAACAGGAUUAGAUACCCUGGUAGUCCACGCUGUAAACGAUCGAUACUAGGUGUGCGGGGACUGACCCCCUGCGUGCCGCAGUUAACACAAUAAGUAUCGCACCUGGGGAGUACGAUCGCAAGGUUGCAACUCAAAGGAAUUGACGGA
rnacentral:rRNA from 1 species